rnacentral:rRNA from 1 species
CGGGUACCGCUCCGGUUUAAAUUUCUUGGAACAGAAUGUCAGAGAGGGUGAGAAUCCCGUCUUGGACCGGUGGUAGGACCUAUGUGAAACUCCUUCGACGAGUCGAGUUGUUUGGGAAUGCAGCUCAAAAUGGGUGGUAAAUUUCAUCUAAAGCUAAAUAUUGGCCAGAGACCGAUAGCGCACAAGUAGAGUGAUCGAAAGAUGAAAAGCACUUUGAAAAGAGAGUUAAACAGUAUGUGAAAUUGUUGAAAGGGAAGCGCUUACAACCAGACUUGAGCGCGACGGUUCCCCCUUCCUUUUGGUUGGGUUACUCCGUCGUGUCCAGGCCAACAUCGGUUUCGGGGGUUGGUUAAAGGCGCCUUGAAUGUAUCUACCCUUCGGGCGUAGACUUAUAGCUCGGCGUGUCAUGCGACCUCCCGGGACCGAGGAACGCGCUUCGGCUCGGAUGUUGGCGUAAUGGUUGUCAGCGACCCGUCUUGAAACACGGACCAAGGAGUCUAACAUCUAUGCGAGUGUUUGGGUGUCAAACCCGGAACGCGAAAUGAAAGUGAACGGAGGUAGGAAGCCUUAGGCUGCACUAUCGACCGAUCCUGAUGUCUUCGGAUGGAUUUGAGUAAGAGCAUAGCUGUUGGGACCCGAAAGAUGGUGAAC